GGCAUAAAGUGCCUUCCGUUGGUCCCCUUAAACAUUGGCAUUGUCCUCUAGUGGACAGAGUCCACAAUUGAUUAGUCAGAUCAAUCAGUGUGGCCCUGGGCUGCUGUUGCUCGCUCUGACGCAUACCAAAGGGGGUCGGCAAGUGGUGCAUCGACUGCAAGAGUGCCGCUGGUCCACAAAAACACACACACUCAUUUGAGAACAGCACCCAUUUGCACACCAUGCAGCCCAAGGCCUGGUAUUUCAGACUCUAAACGCAGAGGCACAGGAAGAGUCAGGGACAGAUGGAUUUAAAGACUGAGCCAGAUCCAGCCACCCUGGCCAGGUGGAGACUCAAGGGACAGGGACACCGUUGUGUCCAGAUUGACCUGAGCUCAUGGAUGAGCCUUGAGAUGUGAGGAUUAUUCACAGGAGCCUGCGUCACUACAAACAGUCCAUGGAGUUGUCUGGCACCAGGCCAAGCGGAGGGGCUUUUCCUGGGGCGCAGGACGGCGGCAGCAUGGCGUUGGGUGCGGGGUCCACGUUCUCCGAAUCCUCCAUUUUCUCAGCACAUCCCUCCCAGUUGAUGUGAAAUCUGGUUACACGAGGGUUGGAAGCCAGAAUGUUCCUCUGGAGCUGAGAGAAAUGCACAAGAAGAAAGACACUUUAAUUUGACCCAUUUCGAGUUUUGAGUUGACUGAAAUGCCUGUUUUUGUCCCCUUGACAUUGUGACUUUCUCAAACAUGUACGCAAACGUUCAACACGCUGACGCACACACAUCAUUUCUAUUACAUUUUUGAGUUAAUGCACAGCCCCAAAAUAACUUUUCUGGUUAUAUUUUGUUAUGUUAUGUAUAAAAAGCAGCUUUUCCCCACUUAUUUCAAUACUGAAAGAUAUUGUUUUAGCCACAUAUAAGAAUAAGCGAUAAUUUAUGUUGUUCAAGCUGUCUGAAAUACUAUUAAACCCAUGUUGUUUUUCUUGAAA